UCAGGAGCCUCUUUCUGUGUUUCCCCGCAGUCGAGGAACAGUGGGCAGCAAGGGGACAUGGAUGGAGCCCGGCGACUCGGCCGCAUGGCCAGGCUGCUCAGCAUCGUCUCCAUUAUCCUGGGGACCAUCAUCAUCGUGCUCUACAUUUCACUCAGCGUCAGAGUUUCCUAGAAGAUGUUUCAGCAUGCAGAUACCUCGAAGAGGAGGAAGACAACUUUCCUUUUGGGGUUUUUACUUUCAGCCUUGCAACAAAAAAUUGUCACAGUGUAGGUGGGCAGCCCUAGACAGCCUGCUCUGGAGCGCCGUCGGAAGGAACGCAUGCUUCUACUUCACCGCCUCUUGGAAAUGAGUUUGUACGAGUGAUGGGAUAAAAAACAUCGCAAGAAGGAAUGGGAACGAACAUCGGACACCGAGCGGAGAGGAGAAGGGGGAAAUGCACUACCUCAUUCCCCUCCAGCAAAACUCACGGAGUGGGGAAGACAACUAAAAUACAAGAGGAGGAGAGAGUUUCAAGAACGAAGCUUAUUUUAAAAGAAAAAUUUAAGGCGAGAACGGGACAUUUUGAGGAGUCCUCCUAAGAAUUUUGGCACAAGUCACUGAGUUUUUUGGGGCGUUGUUGGUUUUUAAAUCGUCAUUCUCUGUCUCUAUAAAAAAAAACAAAACAAAACAAAACAAAGCUCAAACUGCCAUCGGGAGCUGAGAGCUGUUCCACGGAGCAGGAGGGAGAGCAGAGCUGCAGCAGGACCACGGCUCUUCUCCCAACGAAACGCAGCGCAAAAGCUGGAGGAUGUGGUGGGUGCUUUUGUAUUUUUGAUGAAAAAAAAAA